GCUCUGGCAAGAAAUGUGGAUGGAAGCGAGUACAAAAAUACAAAAUUUGGAACUGUACAAAAAGACAAAAUUCUCUAAGAAGUUGUAGAGGGGCUCUAAUGUCACAGGCACAGCUGGCUUCCCACUCUGCUAUCACACCUAACAGUGGGGUGCUCUCCUCCACUGCAGCUGCCUCUAACAUCAGUACCACAGCCGCUGGUGACUCCAAAUGAAUGAAAUCUUGGGAGCCAGCAUGGAGAUAUUGCAAAUCUAUUAAUUGUAGAGGAUCUGAAUAUUGAACAGGUCAGUCCUGGGACCAGGGCAGAACCACACUCUCCUGGACUGACUUUCUUGGCUUGAAGACAGUAGGCUUCAGCCUUGCAAUGCAGGAUCCACACUCUCGUGAGUACUGCUGAAAUUCCACAAGGAAGGAACCAGGACAACUGUCCCUUGUGACAGAGAGUGGCAAACUCGGGUGGCCAGUUGCCACCAGGAAACAUCAAACUGUCACAGCACUUGCCUUUUGACAGCAGAAAACUAGCUCUCCUUGGUUAACACCACAUGGAAAGUACUGGGAAUAGCAGUCACAGUAGGGAUAACAAAACGCUUGAUGAAAUCCAGGCACUGAAAUCCACAGUGCUUUUCUCUUCAGAGGCACUCCUAAUGCAAUAGGUCUACAGAGGCACAGUUCUUUUUCUUGACUUGGCAUGCUUGUUACCAACUCUGGGCGAGGACUGUUGUUAAGAAGUGAAGAUUCAACUGCUAAUGGAAGAGUUCAGAGUUGUUUCCUUUAUUCUUUGCUUGAGCAAAUAGAAAAAAAAAAAAAAGCCCUUUCUACUGCUUUUUCUAGGUGGUGUAAAGGUCACUAACAAUAGCUCCCCUAUAGAUGCCCAUGUGCGACAUUUUGCCUGAAUAAAACAGAAACAUGAUAAGCUAUGGAAAAAUUCAAAUUCUUUUCUAGAUAAA